rnacentral:rRNA from 1 species
CGCCCUGCGCCCGGAUCCAGGCGCCCGCCGGAGACCCCAAACUCUUGUGUUUUUUUCAGUAUUCUCUGAGUGGCAAACGCAAAAAUAAAUCAAAACUUUUAACAACGGAUCUCUUGGCUCUGGCAUCGAUGAAGAACGCAGCGAAAUGCGAUAAGUAAUGUGAAUUGCAGAAUUCAGUGAAUCAUCGAAUCUCUGAACGCACAUUGCGCCCGUUAGCAUUCUAGCGGGCAUGCCUGUCCGAGCGUCAUUUCAACCCUCAGGGUCCCCGUUCCGGCGGGGAACCUGGUGUUGGGGAUCGGCCCGCCCCGUGCGGCGCCGUCCCCCAAAUUCAGUGGCGGUCUCGCUGCAGCCUCCCCUGCGUAGUAGUUACAACCUCGCAUCGGAGCUCAGCGCGGCCACGCCGUAAAACCCCCGACUUUCUGAACGUUGACCUCGGAUCAGGUAGGAAUACCCGCUGAACUUAAGCAUAUCAAUAAGCGGAGGAAAAGAAACCAACAGGGAUUGCCUUAGUAACGGCGAGUGAAGCGGCAACAGCUCAAAUUUGAAAUCUGGCCCCAGGCCCGAGUUGUAAUUUGCAGAGGAUGCUUUUGGCGCGGUGCCUUCCGAGUUCCCUGGAACGGGACGCCAUAGAGGGUGAGAGCCCCGUCUGGUUGGAUACCAAGCCUUUGUAAAGCUCCUUCGACGAGUCGAGUAGUUUGGGAAUGCUGCUCUAAAUGGGAGGUAUAUGUCUUCUAAAGCUAAAUACCGGCCAGAGACCGAUAGCGCACAAGUAGAGUGAUCGAAAGAUGAAAAGCACUUUGGAAAGAGAGUUAAACAGCACGUGAAAUUGUUAAAAGGGAAGCGUUUAUGACCAGACUUGGGCCGGUUAAUCAUCCAGCGUUCUCGCUGGUGCACUUUGCCGGUCCAGGCCAGCAUCAGUUCGCUGCGGGGGAUAAAGGCGUCGGGAAUGUGGCUCCUCCGGAGUGUUAUAGCCCUUCGCGCAAUACCCUGCGGUGGACUGAGGUUCGCGCAUCUGC